ensembl:lncRNA
CGGAUACUUAAAAGAUGUCACUGGCCCAGGCGGUUUCCCAACGUGCUUCAAGACCACAACCAUUGUGCCAGGGCUGAAACAGUCAAACGUGUCUAGCAUGACUUCUGACCAGUUGCUUUCAACACUGUCAUCCCCUAUAAGGCCGGUCAACAAACUCCAUGACCUGGGGAUCAGCCCCUCUCUCUGCAACUGGACUCUGGACUUCCUAAUCAACAGUCAGGUUAAACAAUUUAACCUCCACCACCCUGAUACUGAACACUGGUGUUCCACAAGGCUGUGUGCUGAGCCCCUUCCUGUACUCCCUCUUCACCCACAACUGUGUUCCUGUACACAGUUCCAACACCAUCAUCAAGUUCGCAGACAAGGUGGUAGGCCGGAUUACUGAGACGAGUCAGUCUACAGGGAAGAGUCCAUACGCCUGACAGCAUGGAGCGUUGAAAACAAUCUGGCCCUCAACGCUAAGAAAACCAAGGAACUCAUUGUGAACUACAGGAAGUCUAAAACCUGCAUCCAUUUUAUCCUUAAAUAAAAUACUUUUUUUUGCAUGAUCAGUCAUAUUUUCUAAAUCAAUGCCAAAAUUUCACCAUUUCUGCCAGGAUAUGCAAACUUAUGAGUAUAACUGUAUACUUAAUAUUUGUUUAUACUGGCACAUUUUCUGCCCUCCUCUAUUUGCACUUCUGGUUAGACAAUAAUAAUAAUUACAAUUGUGACCAACUACCAGUAAGUAAUACAUUUGGUUUGGAAUUACAAUAAUUGUAUUCACAUUUAUUAUCUAAAGCUCUCUGCUCACCAGGUUCAACCACUUCUUUGACCUCCAUGGCAACAUCAUCAGGUUUGACCACUCCUUUGACUCCCAGCAAGGCAGUGAAUCCUACAUCAGGUUCAACCACUUCUUUGACCCCGACAGCAAUGACAUCAGGUUUGACCACUCCUUUGACUCCCAGCAAGGCAGUGAAUCCUACAUCAGGUUCAACCACUUCUUUGACCCCGACAGCAAUGACAUCAGGUUUGACCACUCCUUUGACUCCCAGCAAGGCAGUGAAUCCUACAUCAGUGAAACCAUCAUGGCUUGCAGCAAUAGUUGUGGGUAUUUCACUGGCCAUGUUCCUGGUGGUGGGAUUAACAGCUGUCUGUCUGUAUAAGAAGACACAUAGAAGCAAAUCUCAGAGACCUCAAGCCAAACAGGACAAACAUAAGCAACAAUUAGUGAUGACAACCGAAAGCAGUGGAACUAUGGUGCAUUCAGGGGAUAAGGGACCUUAUACUCUCAUCCCCACGGUGCUGACCACGUUCAUGCCCUCAGGUCCUGUUGGAGAAAAUGAAGAAUCCUCUGAAUAUUACAAUUUUGACACAGACCAAGUGUACUGUUCAAUCCCUGACAGAACAGCAGCCUCAGCCCAGACAUACUACAACAUUGGCUUUCUGUAGAUAGUCUUCUGUACAGUUGCAUGUUUUAUUUUUGCUCUCUAUUCAAUCUCUUUGGAUUUGAAAUAUAACAAUGACAAUGGGAUAAAAAUAUAGAUAUAGAACAAAUAAAGCAUUGGUGAGUUUAGCAUUAUCAAACAACUUAGUAGACCCAAGAAGACAAUUAGUGGAUGACCAAAGAAUACUUUUAAGAUGAUGGAAAAACAUCCAACAACAGUCCAACAGACCUGGAACAUUUUCCAUGAGGUUGAGACUCAAAACAGUCAGUAAUGUAAGUUCUCAUUUUGAACUUAUUCAGCAACUCAAUCUCCUACAAUUUAAGUCCAAGAAUUAAUUAAAUGCUGGGAGACCAUUUUUUGUUUUAGAGUUCUGUUCUAAAACAACUACAGUAUAUACAGUUCAGAUUAGUUUUUUGCUUUGUAUGAAAUGCUCUCUGCUGUAAGAAAGCAAUAAUACUUUUUCAUUACAAAUAUUGAGGUUUGUUAGUACUUACUUAUCUCAUUCUUUCAUAGUCCAUAGAACUGCCUUGUCAUCAACAAAACAUCUUGAGUCCGUUUUCCCAGAAAGAGAUUAAGCAUUGAACUGCAACUCCUUUUCUUGAGAAAUUUCCCUUGACAUUUUAUAGUCAAGAAAUUCUUAACUAGUGCAAACAACAUGGUUCAUCGGAACAAGUCCUUACAGGCACCACUCUACACUAGACACUUCCCAUUAGUAUGAUGUUAAUUACUCGUCUCCAUUGUUCUUCCUUUCAUUUUUUGCUCUAAUCAGCUUACUUCAAUUUUUCUGGUAUUUAACAUCAAUCACAACAUAUAAAGGAAAGUCUUUAACUUUUUAGAUCACAAUACUUAACCACAAGUAUAUUUUUGUUUUUGUUCACAAAUGCAAUUAAAUCAGACAUUGAUUUUUAAUAUUGAACUAAAGCUAAGAGCAGUACAUUAAUACAAAGCGGACGCAAAGGAAAAUAUCUAGACACAUGACACAGAUGUGUCAUCCUUUUUAUAUUCUGUUGUGGACAUUAUGAAACCUGAUGCAUUCUUACUGUUUAAAGGACUGAGUCCCAUUGUUUGGAUGUGAGAAUGAAUGAGUUACUAGUUAAAGAUGCCGAGAGGGACAUCUGUCCUAGGGGGACAUCCUUUACCAGCAUCCUUGAUCAGCACCAGUGGAUUAGAUGGUUACUCAUAAAUCAGUAAAUCUGUAUAACCCUUUAGUGUCUCUGUUGAUUAUACAGACAUUGCCUCUCCUUAGGAGUUAAGGAUAAGGUGGGGGGACAGCCCGCCCUUUGGGUAAAUGUUACACAUGACAGAUGGGCAAUAAUUUACCACACCCCUUUUUGUAUGUGUUAUAUACUGUUGUAUGAGCUAUAUUGAGUUAGAGACUCCUCGGACGAUUAUGUUGGGAAGCGGUUGACGCGUCUCUCUUAUUUGCAAAUAAUAAAUAAACUGUUAAAUGGUGCGUCUCUGUACUUCCUUAUUAAAGAGUUCUGAUCG